rnacentral:rRNA from 1 species
GACGAACGCUGGCGGCGCGCCUAACACAUGCAAGUCGAACGAGAGAUGAGGAGCUUGCUCUUCAGAUCGAGUGGCGAACGGGUGAGUAACGCGUGAGGAACCUGCCUCAAAGAGGGGGACAACAGUUGGAACGACUGCUAAUACCGCAUAACAUUGCCGAACGGCAUCGUUUGGCAAUCAAAGGAGCAAUCCGCUGAAAGAUGGGCUCGCGUCUGAUUAGAUAGUUGGUGAGGUAACGGCUCACCAAGUCGACGAUCAGUAGCCGGACUGAGAGGUUGAUCGGCCACAUUGGGACUGAGACACGGCCCAGACUCCUACGGGAGGCAGCAGUGGGGGGAUAUUGGACAAUGGGGGAAACCCUGAUCCAGCGAUGCCGCGUGAGGGAAGAAGGUUUUCGGAUUGUAAACCUCUGUGGACAGGGACGAUAAUGACGGUACCUGUUUAGAAAGCCACGGCUAACUACGUG